UACGGGGGGGGCUAGCGUUAUUCGGAAUUACUGGGCGUAAAGCGCGCGUAGGCGGAUCUGCAAGUCAGAGGUGAAAUCCCAGGGCUCAACCUUGGAACUGCCUUUGAAACUGCGGGUCUUGAGUUCGAGAGAGGAGAGUGGAAUUCCGAGUGUAGAGGUGAAAUUCGUAGAUAUGCGGAGGAACACCAGUGGCGAAGGCGGCUCACUGGCUCGAUACUGACGCUGAGGUGCGAAAGCGUGGGGAGCAAACAGG
rnacentral:rRNA from 1 species